rnacentral:misc_RNA from 1 species
UUGCACAUAAAAAGAAGUAAUUUAGGACAAUGACUAUAUUUUAGUCUUAAAACAGAAAACCAAAGAAGAAAAAAAAAUCUCUUUCCCCCGCAGAUAAUUUAAAGAUAUAAAUACAAAAUAUUAAUGUAACAGAAAACAGAAAUCUUCCAUCAUUUGAACCUCUUUAUGCUUCAGGCAACAGUCAUCAGUCAGCUAAUUCAUUACUUUGUCUUUGCGUUGGCAAAAUUUGUUUCCUAUACCAUCUUAGUUCAUUAAAUUUCUAAUAUUUAAUCAACUUUAAACAAAGAUAAUAGUCUGUUAUAUGGCCAUUGAAAUGAUAUUUAGUUGACCUUCUUCAUAUUUCACUUUAAAAAGAGAAGGGAAAAAAAAUGACAUUUAUUCAAGAAAAGAUCUCAAAAAUUGUUCCUAGAUGCAAAUAAUUUCUGUUCAGUCAGAUUAAUUAAUUUCAAACAAUUGGAAAGCUUCAGCAUGAAGGUCAUGCUCCCGCAAAAAGAAUAGACAUGCUUAGAUGCAUAAAAUCAUAAAACCUGAUACAUAAUUUUCCUUCCUUGUGCACAAUAUGGCAAAUCCUAUUCAAUUAACUGCUACGCAAAUUGUAUAGAGUUACUUCACCAAAUUCUACAUUGCAUCAUUUCCUUAAUAAGUGAAAAGAAGUGAAUAUGCAAGUGCCACCUGAGCUAUGACUUCAUUGCAAUGCUUGACAGCAUUUGAAUACAUCUCACACUACAAGUCUGCCAAGUACUAAUCUGAAUGUGAUCUUUCUACCUAUAAUUGAAAACCUGAUAACAAUUCUAGAGGGAUUAAUUGAGAAGGGGUCAUACACAGGAAAUCAAUUCAACUGCAAUGAAACCCAUCUUCUCUUCAUGACAUAGGAAGAUAAAG